UGGAAGGAAGUCAAGUAUAAACUUCUAAACAAGUAUCAAUAUGGAGGGGCAAGUCUCGGUGCCAGCAGCCGCGGUAAAACAGCUCCAAUAGCGUAUAUUAAAGUUUGUUGCAGUUAAAAAGCUCGUAGUUAAUCUACUGUUAAUUUUUAUAUAUAAUAUUUCGGUAUUUAUAUAAUAUUAACAUAAUUCAUAUUACUUUUUAGUAUAUGAAACUUUACUUUGAGAAAAUUAGAGUGCUUAAAGCAGGCUAUUGCCUUGAAUACUCCAGCAUGGAAUAAUAUUAAGGAUUUUUAUUCUUCUUAUUGGUUCUAGAAUAAAAAUGAUGAUUAAUAGGAACAGUUGGGGGCAUUUGUAUUUAACAGUCAGAGGUGAAAUUCUUAGAUUUGUUAAAGACAAACUACUGCGAAAGCAUUUGCCAAGGAUGUUUUCAUUAAUCAAGAACGAAAGUUAGGGGAUCGAAGACGAUCAGAUACCGUCGUAGUCUUAACCAUAAACUAUGCCAACUAGAGAUUGGAGGUUGUCCUUAC
rnacentral:rRNA from 1 species